UACGUAGGGGGCUAGCGUUGUCCGGAAUCAUUGGGCGUAAAGCGCGUGUAGGCGGUUCGGUAAGUCCGCUGUGAAAGUCGGGGGCUCAACCCUCGAAUGCCGGUGGAUACUGUCGGACUAGAGUACGGAAGAGGCGAGUGGAAUUCCUGGUGUAGCGGUGAAAUGCGCAGAUAUCAGGAAGAACACCCGUGGCGAAGGCGGCUCUCUGGGACGGUACUGACGCUGAGACGCGAAAGCGUGGGGAGCGAGCAGG
rnacentral:rRNA from 1 species